rnacentral:rRNA from 1 species
UACGGGGGGAGCAAGCGUUGUUCGGAUUUACUGGGCGUAAAGGGUGCGUAGGUGGCGCUGUAAGUCGGGUGUGAAAUCCUGAGGCUUAACCUCGGAACUGCAUUCGAUACUGCGGCGCUUGAGGACUGGAGAGGAGACUGGAAUUCAUGGUGUAGCAGUGAAAUGCGUAGAGAUCAUGAGGAAGACCAGUGGCGAAGGCGGGUCUCUGGACAGUUCCUGACACUGAGGCACGAAGGCCAGGGGAGCAAACGGG